rnacentral:piRNA from 1 species
UUCCUAUGAAUGGAGCCGAGCAGUAAC